CGACUGUUGGACUGUUGGCAGACAACUAGUGUUUACUUUUGUGACUGUUUUUCAGAAAAUUAAUUAAUGGUUUGUUUAGACUUAUAAGUCUUUACAGACCUAAACACUUAUACAUCAUUACGUUAUCGGGAAAAACAUUACCCGUAAUCACAUAUAAAUAGAAAUUGAUUCAUCAUUAAAUUUUUUAUUGACAAAAAUAUAUUAUCAUCAAUGAUAUAGUAAAAAAACUUAUAAAAAUUCAAAUAUCCAUCAAUUUUGUCAAUUUCUCUUUAUAUGUCCCCAUAAGGCAGUCAUUUCUAUUUUCCCAAAAUCGGAGAUUCAAAUAAUUUAACUGUCGAUUGUCGAUACCAUUGGGACUCAAAUACCAAUCGUAAGAAUAAAAAUAGUAAAGAAAUAGAAUAAACUACAAAAUAAAUGACAAUAAAUUGGGAAACUUAUUGAAUAUAAUGACAAAAAUCUGCAAAAUUGUUGAAGAUUUGCUGGUAGUAGUAGUGGUAGUAGUAGUAGUAGUAGUAGUAGUAGUAGUAGUGAUAGUAUUAGACUUUGUUUUAUCGGAUGAAACUUUAAGUUUUUUCUUUGAUAACUUAAAGAAAGCGGGAUUUUUUAUGAUGACUAUCCCAUUGCUAAGCGUACCAUUGAAUUGGUCUCCAUAAACACGUAUCAAGAUUUUCAUAUCUUCUUUAUAUUUAAUAAUAUUUUUGUAGUGCUUAAACGCAGCCACACCGGCACCGGUAGCGGCUGCACCGGUACCGGCCGCUACACCAGCGGCCGCUACACCGGCAGCCGCUACACCUACACCGACACCAACACCGACACCGAUACCGGCACCGGCAGCCAAUAAUAGUAAUGGUUUUGGCUUAGACUCAAUCACUCGAAUAUUACUAAACUAAUGUCGAUUGUCGACCUGUGCUCCCGAUGGGGUGCAAACACCGAUCGUAUCAAUAAAAUAAAAGUAAAAAAAUA